rnacentral:rRNA from 1 species
CCUACGGGAGGCAGCAGUGAGGAAUAUUGGUCAAUGGGCGCAAGCCUGAACCAGCCAAGUCGCGUGAGGGAUGACGGUCCUAUGGAUUGUAAACCUCUUUUGUCGGGGAGCAAGGCCCGCCACGUGUGGCGGGAAGGAGAGUACCCGAAGAAAAAGCAUCGGCUAACUCCGUGCCAGCAGCCGCGGUAAUACGUAGGGGGCGAGCGUUAUCCGGAAUUACUGGGUGUAAAGGGAGCGUAGACGGCGAGGUAAGCCUGAAGUGGAAGCCCGCGGCCCAACCGCGGAACUGCUUUGGGAACUGUUUUGCUGGAGUAUGGGAGGGGUAAGCGGAAUUCCUGGUGUAGCGGUGAAAUGCGUAGAUAUCAGGAGGAACACCGGUGGCGAAGGCGGCUUACUGGACCAUAACUGACGUUGAGGCUCGAAAGCGUGGGGAGCGAACAGGAUUAGAUACCCGGGUAGUC